CCUACGGGGGGCAGCAGUAGGGAAUCUUCGGCAAUGGACGAAAGUCUGACCGAGCAACGCCGCGUGAGUGACGAAGGUUUUCGGAUCGUACAACUCUGUUGGUAGAGAAGAACGUUGGUGAGAGUGGAAAGCUCAUCAAGUGACGGUAACUACCCAGACAGUGACGGCUAACUACGUGCCAGCAGCCGCGGUAAUACGUAGGUCCCGAGCGUGGUCCGGAUUUAGUGGGCGUAAAGCGGGCGCAGGUGGUUUAUUAAGUUUGGUGUAAAAGGCAGGGGCUCAACCAUUGUAUGCAUUGGAAACUGGUAGACGGGAGGGCAGGAGAGGAGAGUGGAAGUCCAGGUGUAGCGGUGAAAUGCGUAGAUAUAUGGAGGAACACCGGUGGCGAAAGCGGCUCUCUGGCCUGUAACUGACACUGAGGCUCGAAAGCGGGGGGAGCAAACAGGAUGAGAUACCCGAGUAGUC
rnacentral:rRNA from 1 species